AUGGUAUAGUGCAAUGGAGCGAAUGGCUAGUUGUUAGAUACUAGAUAGUAUAUUGAAAUUACUUUAAAUCAGAGUUCUGCACAAAAUGUUGGGGACAAAAAUGCCUGGCACUAUAUAAUGCUUGUGAUAUUGUUAUGUAUGCUCGUUAUAAUUCAAGGAAUAUGAUUUUGAUGAAAAAAAAAAAAACAAACUGCAUAGACAAUUUUUUUGCCUCUGAAAGUAAAAUAAAAAUAUGCAAAUGCUAGUAGUGACCAGGGAUAACCAGUACAAUUUAAUUUCAAAAUUUCUCAGCAUUUCAUUCCUGACCCACUAUAAUUCCUAAGAAUAAUAAACUAUUACACAAUCAAAACUUGUUAAAUGAAAAUGCUACAAAAGAUGAAAUUGCUUAUGGUUACUGCUUAAAUUAUGGCAUAACUGUAAUAGAAUAUACAGAACAUAACAAAAUAAUAUAUAUAAUUAAAAAACAUAAAUAUUACAACUGUAUAAUAAAUAAAAAAUUAAUAACAUAAAGAAAUAAUUUUUGCCUAUGGUAUGAAAUAUUUAUUCAAGAGUUAUAGAUAGUUGUUCCUAUUGCUCUAUAAUAGUACUAAGAAAUAUUUAACGGUUAUUUUUGGGAUAGAUAACUAAUGAUGAAGAAAAUUAUAAUUAUUAUCUUUAACAGUUUUAUCUCAUCAUUAAAUAACUUUACACGAAAAGUGUCUGAGCAAGUCUUGUACAUAGAUUGAAUAGACAUAAACCAGCGAUUGCAGGCUUGGUCGUUUUUCACUGCUUUAACUUCAUAAACAAGCAGCUUAGUUUAAUUUCCAGCAUAAAGUAUGAUUGCAGAAGAUUUAAAUAUUAUAAACAGUUGAAAUUAUAUUGACUAUCCUUGCAAAAAAAGCUGAAAUAAAGCGAACAAUUUACACGUUCUGGUCACAACCGCUAGGCUCCAAUCUACCCGUCGCGCCGUGUAGCUGUACGGCUGGCUGUGGCAGAAGUGAUGACGUCACACGCAAGUUCCCGUGACGCUACACGUUGCCGUCCCCGUACGCGUCGCGCCAGCGCUGAGUCUCAAACUCUCUAUUGGACACAUGGGAUCUUUCCUACUGUGGGCAGCAGUGUCACCUGCUAACCUGCCUUAUCUUGAGUGAACGCUGCUCACAGUUCGACCUAUUAGAUCCAUCUGCUCCCGCACGGGGAGGAGAAAAGCAGGUUGAUUCCUUUGACUGACAUUUUGUAAAUAGAUGGAAGAGGCUGGGCCUUAGGAACAAGCAGAGAUGGAGAUGCGUCUGUAUCCCGACCUCCGAGAGUUCUACAACGAGGGUUUCGUUGAGUACGGUUCCUCAGUCAACCUUUCCUUCGACGCCAUCGAGGCGCUUAUCCCCACAGCGCCGCCUCUUUCAGAACCUGACCUUGAACCCUACCAUGACAUUGACGGAGACAUCACCCUCAACAUCACGAGUCCAGAGGAGCCCGAGAAGGACUAUGACAUGGCAGAGGAGCCAGAGCCGGACUACGACAUCGACAAGCCGAUGGACGACCUAAACUUCAAUCGCUCAGAGGUGAAGAAGACCAAAGACAAAGUGCUGGAUUUCCUCAAGCACACAGGGGGAUAAAAAGGAUUUCAACAUCUGGAUGAAGUGGAGGAAGGAGGUCAACCAGCAGCUGCUCGCGGUCAUCCUGCUGAGGCAAGGUCACCGAGUGCACCUCAGCUCCACUGAACUGCAUCGCAAGCCGCUGUGUCGCCAUAGUGAGGCGUCCAUUGUGCGGGAGGCGACUGGGUGCAGCUGGGUAGAACGUCGCAAUAUAAACGGAGCGGAGAGGACUCGACUUCCGGGUCGCCCAUACAUCAUGUACGGGAUUCCCAGGGUCAGGCUUAGAUCAAAGGCGAAGUAGUGCUGCGUGUCACCAGACCUGUUAUCAAGUACAGGCGGAUUUAUCCCGAUGUCACCGCAGGUGUUUAUCUUGUUUCUUGGUGUCAUUGUGGAACUGUACUUUUGUCUUAUUCUCGGUGAAUUUUUUUCUUUUUUUGUUCAAUCCCGAGAGACCGACACAGACAGCUACGUUGUGAUGGAAAAUCAGUCUGCCGACUGAGUACAAAUAAGCUAUACAGUCGUUUCCAAAUAUCACAAACGCAUUUUUGUUUGUUUUUUCCUUGACGUCAUGAACUAUUGUGAGGUUGUGCUGAGUACAGGAGGACCUUUACCCUCUCUUUGAACUCGAGGGAAGAAAGAAAGUUGCGCCUUAUACAUGAGCUGUGAUUAUUAAGAGUCAUUUUUUCGCCCUCUCGGCUGAUGACGCACUCGACUGUAUUGUGGUAACUGUUUCCUGCCUAAUGUCGGCGGACCGCACGCGUGAUCUGUAGAAAAGAAGGCCAGGUGAUAAGCGCACCUCUUUAUUCGUCUGCUUUGUGAGCUUCAGUUCAAUGACACGUCUAGGUCGUAAUCAAAGAAGUCUCAUGUCUUUACAGGCAUGCUGUGUGUGUGUGACAGACAGACCAGACAGACAGACAGACAGACAGACAGAAGCUGUCUUGAAAUGGUAGCUUGAAAAGGGCUAACGUCUUUUUCUCCAUGAAUCUCAUGAGAUCGUGUUAGCGGUGGGGUGUGUAGGGGGGUAGUAUGUAACGCCUGUUUGCUUGCCUGUCCUUUUGAGAUUGACGGUAUGAGUUGGAGAGGAAAGACAGCCUUGCAUUGACUUGGAAUCCUUUUUGUUGAGACUGCAGCUGUACUGGGAUUAUCCUGUUUGGCGGAUGGAACACAUGCAAGAGACAGAUGUAGGCCUCUUUAGACAAAUCCUUUCAAACACGACGACGCUAAAGAUCGCCACACAGAAGGUCGAUGGCGAUAAUUUCAUCACACCCCAGAUGAAUGGAACAGCUGGCGAACUACAGUCUAUAAACCCUAGGGGGACAACAUAUAGUCAGUAGUGACGUGGGUGAGGUGUUUGAAGAUGUGGAUAUUUAUUUAUGGAUUCUCAAAGGGGUGAACAUAUGUGCACGUCAUGUGGUAACGUAUCGCAUAAGGCAUGCAGUUCUUAACAUGGGCAAUUUUAUUUGAACUUGACACUGUUGGUGCAUGAUCUUGAAUGACAGCAAACGCGAGAUUCAAAUUUGACAACUUGCUUGAGAAAUGGACAUUAUCCCCAUUUCGCAAACGAAGAAACGAAGUCUUUACAGCAACUUUUAAAGUAAAGUGAACUUGCACGAA